rnacentral:tRNA from 1 species
GUAGACGUAGUUUAAAAAAAACAUUAGAUUGUGAUUCUAGAAACAGAGGUUAAAACCCUCUCGUCCACC